rnacentral:rRNA from 1 species
GACAGAGGUGCCAAGCGUUAGGCGGAAUCACUGGGCUUAAAGCGUGUGUAGGUGGAUGUCUAAGUACCUUGUGAAAUCCCACGGCCUCAACCGUGGAACUGCUCGGUAUACUGGAUGUCUUGAGUCACUUAGGGGCUACCGGAACAAAUGGUGGAGCGGUGAAAUGCGUAGAUAUCAUUUGGAACGCCAAUGGUGAAAACAGGUAGCUGGGAGUGUGCUGACACUGAGACACGAAAGCCAGGGGAGCGAACGGG